CCGAAACCCGGUGAUCUAGCCAUGGGCAGGUUGAAGGUUGGGUAACACUAACUGGAGGACCGAACCGACUAAUGUUGAAAAAUUAGCGGAUGACUUGUGGCUGGGGGUGAAAGGCCAAUCAAACCGGGAGAUAGCUGGUUCUCCCCGAAAGCUAUUUAGGUAGCGCCUCGUGAAUUCAUCUCCGGGGGUAGAGCACUGUUUCGGCAAGGGGGUCAUCCCGACUUACCAACCCGAUGCAAACUGCGAAUACCGGAGAAUGUUAUCACGGGAGACACACGGCGGGUGCUAACGUCCGUCGUGAAGAGGGAAACAACCCAGACCGCCAGCUAAGGUCCCAAAGUCAUGGUUAAGUGGGAAACGAUGUGGGAAGGCCCAGACAGCCAGGAUGUUGGCUUAGAAGCAGCCAUCAUUUAAAGAAAGCGUAAUAGCUCACUGGUCGAGUCGGCCUGCGCGGAAGAUGUAACGGGGCUAAACCAUG
rnacentral:rRNA from 1 species